CCUACGGGAGGCAGCAGUGAGGAAUAUUGGUCAAUGGCCGAGAGGCUGAACCAGCCAAGUCGCGUGAGGGAAUACGGCCCUACGGGUUGUAAACCUCUUUUGUCGGGGAGCAAAGCGAGUCACGUGUGACUCAUUGAGAGUACCCGGAGAAAAAGCAUCGGCUAACGCCGUGCCAGCAGCCGCGGUAAUACGGAGGAUGCGAGCGUUAUCCGGAUUUAUUGGGUUUAAAGGGUGCGCAGGCGGAGGUGCAAGUCAGCGGUAAAAUUGCGGGGCUCAACCCCGUACUGCCGUUGAAACUGCAUGCCUUGAGUGCGCGAGAAGUAGGCGGAAUGCGUGGUGUAGCGGUGAAAUGCAUAGAUAGCACGCAGAACUCCGAUUGCGAAGGCAGCAUACCGGCACGCAACUGACGCUCAUGCACGAAAGCGUGGGUAUCGAACAGGAUUAGAUACCCCUGUAGUC
rnacentral:rRNA from 1 species